rnacentral:rRNA from 1 species
AGCGAACGCUGGCGGCAGGCUUAACACAUGCAAGUCGAGCGGGCACUUCGGUGUCAGCGGCAGACGGGUGAGUAACACGUGGGAACGUACCCUUUGGUUCGGAAUAACGCUGGGAAACUAGCGCUAAUACCGGAUACGCCCUUUUGGGGAAAGGCUUGCUGCCGAAGGAUCGGCCCGCGUCUGAUUAGCUAGUUGGUGGGGUAAUGGCCUACCAAGGCGACGAUCAGUAGCUGGUCUGAGAGGAUGAUCAGCCACACUGGGACUGAGACACGGCCCAGACUCCUACGGGAGGCAGCAGUGGGGACUAUUGGACAAUGGGCGCAAGACUGAUCCAGCCAUGCCGCGUGAGUGAUGAAGGCCUUAGGGUUGUAAAGCUCUUUUGUCCGGGACGAUAAUGACGGUACCGGAAGAAUAAGCCCCGGCUAACUUCGUG